GACGAACGCUGGCGGCGUGCCUAAUACAUGCAAGUCGAGCGAAGUUUUUCUGGUGCUUGCACUAGAAAAACUUAGCGGCGAACGGGUGAGUAACACGUAAAGAACCUGCCUCAUAGACUGGGACAACUAUUGGAAACGAUAGCUAAUACCGGAUAACAGUAUCUCUCGCAUGAGAGAUAUUUAAAAGUUGGUUAUGCUAACACUAUGAGAUGGCUUUGCGGUGCAUUAGCUAGUUGGUGGGGUAAAGGCCUACCAAGGCGACGAUGCAUAGCCGACCUGAGAGGGUGAUCGGCCACACUGGGACUGAGACACGGCCCAGACUCCUACGGGAGGCAGCAGUAGGGAAUCUUCCGCAAUGGGCGAAAGCCUGACGGAGCAACGCCGCGUGAGUGAAGAAGGAUUUCGGUUCGUAAAGCUCUGUUGUUAGGGAAGAAUGGAUAUGUAGUAACUAUACAUGUAAGAGACGGUACCUAACCAGAAAGCCACGGCUAACUACGUGCCAGCAGCCGCGGUAAUACGUAGGUGGCAAGCGUUGUCCGGAAUUAUUGGGCGUAAAGCGCGCGCAGGUGGUUUAAUAAGUCUGAUGUGAAAGCCCACGGCUCAACCGUGGAGGGUCAUUGGAGACUGUUAAACUUGAGUGCAGGAGAGAAAAGUGGAAUUCCUAGUGUAGCGGUGAAAUGCGUAGAGAUUAGGAGGAACACCAGUGGCGAAGGCGGCUUUUUGGUCUGUAAACUGACGCUGAGGCUCGAAAGCGUGGGGGAGCAAACAGGAUUAAAUACCCUUGUAGUCCAAGGGCGAAUUCCACAGUGGAUAUCAAGCUUAUCGAUACCCUCCGACCUCGAGGGGGGGAUAAUGAAAACAAUUUUUGUUGCCUUUUGUGGGGGUUAUUUAGCC
rnacentral:rRNA from 1 species